rnacentral:lncRNA from 1 species
AGUACCUUAUCCAGUCGGAAGUAAUGCUUGUCCCGAGAUAACCAAUGUUGUGUGUCCUAUAACUAAAGGACAACUUGUAUCCUACACACAUAAGAUGGUUAUACCUUUCUUUCUCCCAAGGAUUACAGUUGGAUUGUCGAUAACAUUUGUAAAUGAUGCCGAUAAGUCAGAGAUAUUCUGUUUUACUACCGAUGUUCAGGUCCAAUAAGCCAGGUUUACCAUAAAGAAAAGUUUUUAGUAUCUAUGACUGUAAAAAAUGCAAAGAUUUCAAAUAAAUAUAAUAUAUUAAAC